rnacentral:rRNA from 1 species
CCUACGGGUGGCAGCAGUGAGGAAUAUUGGUCAAUGGUCGGGAGACUGAACCAGCCAAGCCGCGUGAGGGAGGAAGGUACAGAGUAUCGUAAACCUCUUUUGUCAGGGAACAAAGGCGGGGACGUGUCCCCGGAUUAGUGUACCUGAAGAAAAAGCAGCGGCUAACUCAGGGCCAGCAGCAGAGGUAAUACGGAGGAUGCGAGCGUUAUCCGGAUUUAUGGGGGUGAAAGGGUGCGCAGGCGGUCUGGUAAGUCAGCGGUCAAAGCCCGGGGCUCAAACCGGGCCUGCCGUUGAAACUGGCAGUCUCGAGUUGGAGAGAGGUAUGCGGAAUGCGCGGUGUAGCGGUGAAAUGCAUAGAUAUCGCGCAGAACUCCGAUUGCGAAGGCAACAUGCCGGCUCCACACUGACGCUGAGGCACGAAAGCGUGGGUAUCGAACAGGAUUAGAUACCCCUGUAGUC